rnacentral:piRNA from 1 species
UCCUCAGAUGAGAUGAUUUAAUAUGGUACUG